AUCAUUUACAAAAAAUUACUUGGCACCAUGAAGGGUCAAUUAGCUCAUUCAAGAUUAAACCAAGAAUGAAGGGUACCAUCUCCUAACUCCUUGGUUCAUCUGGGAUGAAGGUAUUGCCUCCAGAGGUUAAUAUAUAGCCAGUGUCUAAAAUUUCCUGUCGUUUUAUUUUCAUGGAGGAUGGAUUUUUGAAAAUUAAGUCCACUGAGCAAAGCUGGAAGUAUACAAAGCCUCCAGCACUGCCCAUGAUGUCAACACAGAGCGAGGGAUGAGCAUAAGGUAUUGUCUUCUGCAUGUCACAACUUUGUUUCUUCCUUGGAAAUGGAGAAAUAUGCAUGCAAAUGAGCCUAAGUAAACAUCCUGUGAUUGCUGUUUCA